rnacentral:rRNA from 1 species
GUUUACGGCCAUGCCACCCUGAACAAGCCCGAUGUCUGAUCUCAGAAGCUAAGCGAGGUUGGGCCUGGUUAGUACUUGGAUAGGAGACCACCUAGGAAGUCCAGGUGCUGUAGGCG